UGCAGUCGGACGGGAUUGAGGAGCUUGCUUCUCAUGAGAGUGGCGCACGGGUGCGUAACACGUAUGUAACCUACCUUGUUCAGGGGGAUAGCCUCUCGAAAGAGAGAUUAACACCGCAUAAAAUCAAUUUAUGGCAUCAUAGAAUGAUCAAAUAUUUAUAGGAACAAGAUGGGCAUGCGGAACAUUAGCUAGUUGGUAAGGUAACGGCUUACCAAGGCUACGAUGUUUAGGGGAUCUGAGAGGAUGACCCCCCACACUGGUACUGAGACACGGACCAGACUCCUACGGGAGGCAGCAGUAAGGAAUAUUGGUCAAUGGACGCAAGUCUGAACCAGCCAUGCCGCGUGCAGGAAGACGGCCCUACGGGUUGUAAACUGCUUUUGUACCGGAAUAAACCUUUUCACGUGUGAGAAGCUGAAUGUACGGUAAGAAUAAGGAUCGGCUAACUCCGUGCCAGCAGCCGCGGUAAUACGGAGGAUCCAAGCGUUAUCCGGAUUUAUUGGGUUUAAAGGGUGCGUAGGUGGCCUAUUAAGUCAGGGGUGAAAGACGGUAGCUUAACUAUCGCAGUGCCUUUGAUACUGAUGGGCUUGAAUACACUUGAGGUAGGCGGAAUGUGACAAGUAGCGGUGAAAUGCAUAGAUAUGUCACAGAACACCAAUUGCGAAGGCAGCUUACUAAAGUGUUAUUGACACUGAGGCACGAAAGCGUGGGGAUCAAACAGGAUUAGAUACCCUGGUAGUCCACGCCCUAAACGAUGAAUACUCGAUGUUGGCGAUAUACGGUCAGCGUCUAAGCGAAAGCGUUAAGUAUUCCACCUGGGGAGUACGCCCGCAAGGGUGAAACUC
rnacentral:rRNA from 1 species